AACGAACGCUGGCGGCAUGCCUAACACAUGCAAGUCGAACGAGACCUUCGGGUCUUGUGGCGCACGGCUGCGUAACGCGUGGGAACCUGCCCUUAUGUUCGGAAUAACUCAGAGAAAUUUGUGCUAAUACCGGAUCAUGUCUUCGGACCAAAGAUUUAUCGCCUUUGGAUGGGCCCGCGUAGGAUUAGCUUGUUGGUGGGGUAAUGGCCUACAAAGGCGACGAUCCUUAGCUGGUCUGAGAGGAUGGUCAGCCACACUGAGACUGAGACACGACCCAGACUUCUAGGAGAGGGAGCAAUGAGGAAUAUUAGACGACGCGCGAGAGCCUGAUACAGCAAGGCCGCGUGAAUGGUGAAGGCAUUAAGGUUGUAAAGCUCAUUUACAAGGAAAGAUAAUGACAGAACCUGGAGAAUAAGCUCGGGCUAACACCGU
rnacentral:rRNA from 1 species